ensembl:snoRNA SNORA70 Small nucleolar RNA SNORA70
CUGCAGUCCAGUAAGCCGACUGGGUUCCUUUCUACAUGGUGGCCGGGCGUGCAGUGGCUGCAGACAGCAGCCUCCUUGGUAGUAUAGUGACCUGUUGCUUAUACUGGUGGCCCUAAGGGACCUUGGAGACAGUU